GGUGUCUAGGGUUUUUAAUUAAAGGUUCUGCCGAGAGAUUGAUGAGAGUUGAGAAGCGAGAGAGAAUGAGAUUGAGAGUUGAGAUGCGAGAGAGAUCCAAAGGUUGCCUGGAGCGUCCACUGCUGGCAUCGCACUUGCUGCCAUCGAUUGCCGCUGCUCGUUUGUCUUCCCCGUCUUCAGGUUACACAACUUCAUAAUUGUUGUAGUUGCAUGCCCUGCUGCAUCUGAUCAUGCUCAUUACCUUAAUGAAGUGCAACAG